CAAUCCAAGGGCAUCUUUGCUUAAACAGAGUGACUUUCCCAUGGCAGUGAGCAGAAAUUUCUGCGUGUCUGUCCAUUCUCUUGUUUUCUCCAUGGAUACAAGGUGUAACUGACUAACUGACCACAGCAGCUCACAGUGCUAACCACUGAGCAACAGCAUUUGAUGAGCUGAGUUGUGUGGCUAGCUUGCUACCACCAGGCCCCAAGUCCUGAGCCCCAAAGGAAAGGGAAAAGAUAACACUGCGACAGACAGAAGAACACAGCGGAAGUUAACAAGUGCCUCUUCCAGCACAGUAUCUCCCUCUGAAGCUUCCCACCCCUUCAGAGGACAACUGUGCAGAAGCCCACAGUGGGCCUCUGUAACAGCCAGUCCCAGUGCCUAGGUAAACCAAGCACCAGGCUGAGCAUGCCUGGGCACCUUCUUGUCAUGUCUUAUUUACCAUGAGCAGUGAAACAAGGGCUCUUGCCAUUCCUACCUGUUGGGUGUGAAACAGAACCCACAAUGUUGAACGACUUACCCAAGGUCACACGGCCAGCCAGAGAGGAGGUGCUAACUCAGAUGCAUUCAGGUGUGUUGGAGAGACACGCUCCCCACGUGAUCAUGUCUGAAAGGUGAAAGGCCCUGGUAGGAAUCAAGAAGAUGACAGUAUAAACGUGCAGAUUGGCAGCCUAGACAGGCUUGAGGGACAUCUAACCCAGCAAGGUCAUGAAUGUUAGCAUUGUAAGGUCAAGACAGAGCAUGGUUGCUUAUAUUCUCACAUCAGCUCUUUUGAAAAGGGACUAAAAAGUUCAGAAAGGUAUGGGUUGAGGUAGGGGAUUCGUUGCCAGUGAUUCUCAGGCCCGUUCCACAUUAGGCUAUAUAGUUGUCACUUUGGGGGUUAGAGACAAAAGUGGCACGUAAUCAGAGGCUGUGGAAGAUGCUGAGGACUCCAGAGGUUGGCAUGGAGGCAGGUGGACUCUCCAUUUGCAGAGGAGAUGAGCUCUGCCUCUAAUGCAUCUUUGCAACAUCAAUGCAUCCCUGAAAGUGUUCCAACUCAAUCCAGGAUGUUCCCUCUGGCUCCCUGAAGUCAUGCCUGCUGUCCCCACAUUGAAACACGUAGCUUACAUAGACAGCGCCGUUACCUCCCACCUCUGAACACAGUUGGAACCGCUCACAAAAGACUUGCCAAAGACAUGGGUUGACCUGUUCCUAAGAUACAGGGUACAAAGGCAGCUGUCUAUGCAAGUUCACAAAUGGCUCCCAAGGGGUCUUGGCUGGACUUAGGGCCCUACAUCUGACUGGUGGUUGAACAUGACACACAUUUACAACAUGGAGGGAGAUGGCAGGACAUCACACUCUCAACACUGUGACAAGGCAGUGUCAGAGUUCGGGCACGGCCUCAGUAUUCACACAAAACCCAACUUGCACUUGGAACAGACAAGAGCUUCUCAUCCUUGCGAACAGCCCCGUUCUCCCAGACCUCCCUUCCCAGUUUCUUAAAGACUAGUCUCCAUGCCAACUUAAAUAUUGCAUUUGGUUGGGAGAGAAGAAACCGCGAGCCCAGAAUGGAAGUCAAAUUAUUCCACAAAUAUUGCUUAUUUAAAUAACAUUUUUAAAAAUACAUCAUGUUCAGUGGUGAAGAACUACUAAAUUAUUGAAUUCCCCGAAGCAUCCUACAGGCUUUCAAGUGGCUCAUGAAGCCCUAUAAAAGAACGUGAUAAAUAGUCAAAAAGGAACGCUGGGCUCCACGUCAGGAUGCCUGGAUGAGCCAACGUAAAACAUCUUCAUGUAAGCUUUCCACUUAAACCGGCGAUUAAACAGAUUAAACAGAUGAUUAAACAAAUAAAGAUUAAUGAAACAAGUAAAG
rnacentral:lncRNA from 1 species